rnacentral:rRNA from 1 species
CAUGAAGCUGGAAUUGCUAGUAAUGGCAGGUCAGCAUACUGCCGUGAAUACGUUCCCGGGCUUUGUACACACCGCCCGUCACACCAUGAGAGUUGGGAAUACCCGAAGCCUGUGAGCUAACGUAAGAGGCAGCAGUCGAAGGUAGAAUCAAUGAUUGGGGUGAAGUCGUAACAAGGUAAC